GAAUAGCAGGGCUGUCAGCACCAAGUAUCAGCUUAGCACUCAAUUUAUUGAAGUCUGCCAACCCAGUGAUCGGAAGGUACUCUUUAAUGCGAGACCUAUCAUUUACUAGUAGCUGUUCUGCUUGUCUAACAACAUUCAAAACAAGAGGUUUUCCUUCCUCUGUCCUAUACGCACCAACUCCCAAGUUCAACUUCAUGGGGCUGGUAUCUUUGUUGUAUGCAACAGUAACGCCGAGAAUAGGAUCUUCGGGAGCGCGAACGAUAUGAGAGAAAACAGACUGUUUUCCAUCAUUUCCUGAGGUAGGAGCACCGACAAUGGAGUGGUUGCUAUGACCUUCAACGGCAACGGACGACGGUUCAAGGUGCCUCGCCAGAACACUCAACCUCCGAUCGGCGGAGGGUGACGGUGAUUGUUGUGUGUGCAUUUUAGUAGUACGGAACUUUUGCUUGCUACAGUACGCCUUCCUUUUUAAAGUUUGUUUACUCUCU
rnacentral:misc_RNA from 1 species